rnacentral:rRNA from 1 species
UACGUAGGGUGCAGGCGUUUAAUCGGAAUUACUGGGCGUAAAGCGUGCGCAGGCGGUCUUUUAAGUCAGAUGUGAAAUCCCCGGGCUUAACCUGGGAACUGCGUUUGAAACUGGAAGGCUUGAGUGUGGCAGAGGGGGGUGGAAUUCCACGUGUAGCAGUGAAAUGCGUAGAGAGUGAUGGAGGAACACCGAUGGCGAAGGCAGCCCCCUGGGCUAACACUGACGCUCAUGCACGAAAGCGUGGGGAGCAAACAGG